GACCAGAUGAGCGCCAGUGAUUUGGUGUGGGUGCUUCAAACCCUCAACUGAUGAGGGUCAGGAGGUUCGAAUCCACAUUCUGGGCG